UUCUACAUGAAGACAUCCAGUUAGAUCAACAUCAUUUCUUGAAAUGCUUUAUUUUCUCCCUUGUAUAGAUUUGCAUUAUUUGCCAAAAUUCAAGUGUCCAUAAGUGCGUGUUUUUUUUUCAGACUUUGAUUCUAUUUCAUUGAUCAACUUGUCUGUUCCUAUACCAAUGCCAUAAAGGUUUUAUUAAGAUUGCUCUGUAGUACAAAUUACUUCAGUGAUGAUGAUUUCACCUGAAGUUAUUUUAUUGUUGAGAAUUGUUAAUUAUUUAAUUUUCCUGGGUAUUCUGUUUUUAUGUAAGCACUUGAAAAUUGCUCUGUCAAAGGCUUUAAAGAACCAUGUUGGAAUUUUCAUGGGAAAUUUUUUGAAUCUAUAGAUGGCUAUUAAGAAGAUGACCUAUUCUACACUGUUAAUGAUACAAAUCCAUGAGCAUGAAGGUCUUGUCAUUUUUGUAUCUUCUUUAAUUUUCUUCUUCACCAACUUGAACUUCUUAUCUUGACCUAUACUGUAGAGGGCCGCAAUACGUUCGCCACCACUAGUUGGCGCUGUCUUCCACUGCGCCCCACGUGGUAGGUCAGGAUAGACUCCGCCAUUGCAAGAUGGCUCCAACCUUCGCCGCGCCAGCCGGCCCCCCCUUUCAGGUAGUUAACUGUGCGCAUGUGCAAGAGUGCCUUCCUGCCAGGUCUUUGCCCAUUCCGGGGCGUGCCUGAUGAGAUCAUGAGUAAGCAACCAAUCAGGUGUGGAUGCGUACUCCAGGGUUAAAUAGGCGCGCCUGGCCGGCGCGCGGGGCCUCUCCAUGAGAUAGGAAUAAAGUAUCACUCAUAGCAAGAAUUUCUAUGUCUCGCGUGCUUCUUGCCGGCGGAAAGUCGCGCGCGGGACAUUUGGUGCCGAGAAACCGGGACAAAAACAUCGCCGGCGCUACGAGAGGCCUCCGUUUCACGGAAGAAAUUCAGAAGCUAUGGAAUACAGGAUGCUGCAGGAGUGUGCCAGCUGCCUGAGUGUCUGGUGAGACAUGCUGAUCCUGGGAGCAUGAAGAUUCAGCUCUCGUGGUUCGGGUCCCUGGAGUCAUUCCUCUGCCCUGACAGGAAGAUAGAAGAUGCCCCUUCAUCCUUUGUCAUCACAGAGAUUUUGCCAUUGCUGCAGUCAGUGUUACCGCUGCGUGUGUUCCCGUCC
ensembl:lncRNA